UGUUGAGAUUGCAACGAUUAUAGG
rnacentral:siRNA from 1 species